rnacentral:rRNA from 1 species
CAGCAGCCGCCGCGGGAAUACAGAGGGUGCGAGCGUUAAUCGGAUUUACUGGGCGUAAAGCGUGCGUAGGCGGCUAAUUGAGUCGGAUGUGAAAUCCCCGAGCUUAACUUGGGAAUUGCAUUCGAUACUGGUUAGCUAGAGUGUGGGAGAGGAUGGUAGAAUUCCAGGUGUAGCGGUGAAAUGCGUAGAGAUCUGGAGGAAUACCGAUAACGAAGGCAGCCAUCUGGCCUAACACUGACGCUGAGGUACGAAAGCAUGGGGAGCAAACAGGAUUAGAUACCCGUGUAGUCCCUGUCUCUUAUAC